CUGCUUUGUAGCAGCUGGCACAGCUGGGCUGCCCUGCUUCCUGCAGAAUGAAGGUGGCCCGAGCUCUGUUUCGCUCCUUGCAGAGAAGAUGAGCUUCGCCUCCUGCAGUUCUGUGAUGGGCUGUUGUUACCUCUGGACGGUCCAAAGCACCAACUUCUAGAAGCAGCUGCUCCAUAAGAAAACUUCCAGAUCUAUGUUAGGUGUGUACUUCCAGGCUCAUUACGGCUCAUGGUUGUGUGCUUACGUUCAUCUGAAUAUAAGAUUUUCCCCUAUUUCAUUUCAGGAAAAUGAACAGCUUCAAGUGAAGGCCAAACCUGCCCCUGGCACUGCAUUUGUGGGCGGUGCACAGAUGAGCACAGUGUAACUUCAAGCUGUUACCCAGUCCAACACAAAAAAAGCACAUCAAAAACUUAGUCAGAAAAAGCAAAACCUUUCUCUGCUGUAGUUUAACUGGAAUUGAAUCUGAGAGACUCAGAAUACUACAUUACCUUUUGCAAAAAUUAUUGCUGGAUCUGAACUACACCAAAUAAUUUGACCACAUGUAUUGAAAUCAGCCUGAUAUAUUCUUUCCUGUAGCAUAGCUCCAGUGUUGGUCGUUUUCCCACCACCUCCCAAGGCUCUUCAGCCUUAGCCUUCAAAGCCCAGCAUGAAUCAGGUGUGCAGUGGGUUUAAACACAUUGGACAGGACGUGACCGUGGGCUGAUUGAACUUCAGUGUGGGGACUGUGUGCUCUCAGCUCCUGUGUGACGUUAUGCACACCCAGGAAAAUACUUUCUGAGCUAUAGUUGAGGGCAUUGGUUCUGCCCUUACCAGCAGGGCCAGGAAGGCGAAAGCAAGGAGGGAUGUGGGAGGGAUGCUGGACAUGUAGAAACCAGGGGUUUUGCAGCAGGGGAGGAUAUUUACAGUCUGCAGUUAGAAUGGGGUAUCUUAAUGUCAGUCAUUUUCAUUGGGUGAUGGGCCACUGAAGGACUGCUAAGGUGAUGGCAGGGAGUGGAGCACCUCUGAGGGGCCCAGGGAUCCAGGCAUGCACAGCCUGGGGCAGAGGAGGCUCAGCAGUACCUCAUCCAUGGCCCUACAUACCUGAAGGGAGGGCACAGAGGGGCUGGAGCCGGGCUCUUGUCAGGGAAGCCGUGGGCCCCUCAAAUGUUUACUGUAUUCUUCAGUGACAUCAUGCUAACAACGUGUGAAUGAAUGCGUGUCCAUUGCAGCCUUUAGCUCUCCUGGUGCUUGGGGAACAGGAGAAUGGCAUUAACCCAGUUAUCUGCCUGGAAUGAAGAGCAGCAUGGAUGAUGCUGGGGUACACAAGCUCAAAAGCAACGGGAUCUUCUAUCUAAGAACUUCUGGAAGUGCAGACUGGUUUACGGUGGUCUAAAUAGAUGAAGCGUGAGUUGGAGCUUUCUACUGAGCCACGUAGAAUUCAUUUCCCUCUGUCACAGGGCUUGCAGGGCAGCAUAGGUCUGGAAGUCACGUGCUGAGCAUUGCCAGGGUCCUGCUUUUUUAGCAGAGUUGUAAUUCAGUCUGAAAGCCUUUAAAGCUGCACAGGAUUCCAUGCUGCUGCCGUGGGUGUGUUGUGAUGGGAUGUUGCAGGCGAAGGGCCUUUCACGUGGUGUUGCUCACGUGUUGUUUGUCUGCAGACACCACCUAAGGAUGGAAAUGACUCCAGGGAGGGCUUUGCUGUGUGGGCUGAAAGCUGGGCUGAGUGAGUGUGUGAAAUGAGGGCACAGUGCGGCUUGGGCAAGCCAAUGCAGUGCCCUCCUGAACCUGCAGUGUUGUGGGCCUGUUAGGUGGCACGAGGCCUGCAUAGCAAUAGAAACGAUCUUCAGCAGCAGCCGGUGGGUGCCAGGCUCUUUUGAUGUGACUUCUUCUGACCUUUCCAGUGCAAGCCCUUGAUCAAAAUGUGCAUUUGUGCGUUGGGCCAUCAGUAAAGCCAGAAUUCCCUGCUUGCCCUGAGGCGAUGCUGUGCUGUCCCCGGUCACCCUCCAGCUCUGUACCAAGCGCUGAACUCCCAUUGUCCUGAGGGCUGCACGGCAAAGCCCAGAGCUCUCUUGAUGCCAACAGUGAGUGAAGAAAGCCUCAUUGGCCUGGUGCUCCCAUCCAGCAAUGGGAACUCCUGGAGGGCUGGUGUCCCUGCAGGCUUAGCUGGGAACAGGUCUCGAUCUGUCAGGCUGCUGUUAGGCAGCUGCGUAUCUUGGCUCUCUCCUCCACAGACCACUGUAAAGUAAUGCAUCCCUAUGAAGCACUUACUGUGGUGACGCCAAGUCAAGAAAUUAGGUUUUGCAUUUUGGCUUAAAUCCUGCAAGCAGUUGUGUGAGUAACUCGGGCGUGUAGGCAGCCACGGGGAGCUCAGUGCGGAGUGUGCAGUCCCAUGCUUGUGCUCUGGGGCUCAGGUAAGGGCAGCAGUCAGUGCUGUGCUGGGGAUUUCAGCUGAGGGGGUGGACGUUUCCUAUGCUUCCCACUUUGAGCAACAGAGAUACAGUCCUCUGGAUGGACCUAUUGGAGUGUGCUCAGAGGAGGGCUGCAAAAAUGAUCCAGGGGAUGGAGCACCUCCCCUACGAGGACAGUCUGAGAGCUGGGGCUGUUCGGCCUGGAGGAGAGAAGCUCCAGGGAGACCUGAGAGCGGCCUUUCGGUACCCGAGGGGGGCUGUAAGAAGGAAGGGGACAGAUUCUGCAGCAGGGUCUGUUGCGACAGGACCAGGGGAAAUGGUUUCAAACUAAAAGAGGGAAGAUUUACACUGGAUGUAAGGAAACAGUUUUUUAUAGUAAGGGUGGUAGGUGAACAGGGUGCCCAGAGAGGUGGUGGAUGCCCCGUGGAGAUAAUCAAAAGUCAGGCUGGAUGGGGCUCUGAGCACCUGAUCUAGCUGUAGGUGUCUCUGCUCAUUGCAGGGGGUUGGACUACAUGGCCUUAAGAGGUCCCUUCCAACUCAGGUGAUUCCAUGAUUCUAAGCAGAUGGCAACUGAGAUCCCACAGAGGACCGGGCUGUCCAGUCAAAUGUCCAGCUUUUUCUCUCUUGCUGUUCCUCUUUUUUCUUGCUGAUCUCCGCCCUGCUGUAUCUCUGGAAUAGUUCUUGGCUUGCUGAGAAUGCUCUGUGCUGAACGCAGCUGGGUGCUAUCACUUACGUGGGGCAUUACCAGUGCUGCCCAGCACGCUUCUCUUUGGGAUUACAGCCCUAUUAGAUGUCUGCCUUCCAUGCCCUGACAACCAUUAAGUGAGGGAAGGUUGGGGCUGGUAGAGCCGAUUCUGUUGCUGUGUUAUCUGAAUAGCACCGAACCCACCAGAUGAAGGCUGGGAAUUAGACAUAAAAUUAACAUAAAAUAGUUCAGCAUUUCACACAACACAAUUCAGAAACUGCAGUAGCCAUCACUGUGACCUUUGCUAAGGAACGUGGAGUUACGUUUCCCAUUGGUGUGAACAGCCUGCACCGCUGGGCUGGUUCUGGGGAAGCACUUGUGCUGUGAUUGUAUAACCAGUUAAUCAGGUGGUGACUCACAGCCCUGUCCUGGGCUGGGCAGAGGGCGAUCUGUGAGCCCUGCAGGAGUGCGGCUGCCUGGUGGGAGAACCUCGUCCAAAAGAUGGAGAACAGAAACAGUGGCAAAAGGUGGAGACAAAGCAUUGAGAUCCUGAGCUGGGAAAGCCCGCUAACCUCAACUCAGCCCAAUAAAAGAGUCCCAAAGGUUUCAUGGGAGGAGAGCUGACAGCGAGAGCUUCUCUCCAGGGAGUUCUGGGUGGGGAUGACAAAGAAGGCACGCUAAUGCCUCAGAUUUCUGAGCUCUGUACAAUCUCUGCAACUAAAAUAAUAAAGCUUUUACCAUCCAGACAUCUGUGUAAAGUUUCCUUCUGCUUGCUGAUGGUGCCCACAGCUGCUGGGCUGCACUUUAUUCACUUCAGGGUACGUGGAACAUACGCAAAGAAAAGCUGUUUCCUGGCUUUGCGAUAGAAGCUUUCAGAUCCAACUUGAUUUUGCUUAACGCCAUCAGAGAGCAAAUAAACCACCCCUAUGGAUGGAUACAGACUUUGCCAUGAUCGCACUGUCACUAAAACGGGUUUGUUGGGAAUCAUCUGUAAAUGGGCAGUAAUUGGAACCCCUCUUACUCUGCUCAUGACGUGGUGCAGGCGUGUGCUGGAGGCGACGUGAGGCUCCCACUGAAUGCAGCUGCUGCAGAGACUCUCAUUUUGAAUUUGAUAUGAAGUGCGGAGGUUGCUCCAAAUGUAACGCCUCCUAUUUAUUUCCAUGCAAGCUACAAUGGAUACAAAGAGCUCAAUAACACUAUUCAAUAAAGCAAAUUCUCAGCUACAAACUAUUUUUUCAACAGUCACCACCGUUAGCAACACACUUUAUCAUUGAUGAGCAACAGCCUGCAUGCUGUGCUCGCAGCAGUCUGCACAGCAGAGGUGCCUCACUGUCAUUGUACCACUGCUGAAAUGCACCACCCACCACCUCACUGUGCUCACAUCCACCCUCCAACUGGAGGACGUUGGUCUCCACAAACACUCAGCAAGUGGUGAUGAAUGUCAGAGUGCAAUUUUUUUUUCUGCGUGGAGGAAUUCAGCUCCUCACCUUUGCUUCAUACACACUUCUACCUCAGAUGCCAUUCUGUCGUCCUGCCCUUCUGCUGCCAUCUGUCA
ensembl:lncRNA